CUGAGAGGAAGGUCCCCCACAUUGGAACUGAGACACGGUCCAAACUCCUACGGGAGGCAGCUAUGAGGAAUAUUGGCCAAUGGACGAGAGUCUGAACCAGCCAAGUAGCGUGAAGGAUGACUGCCCUAUGGGUUGUAAACUUCUUUUAUACGGGAAUAAAGUGAGGCACGUGUGCCUUUUUGUAUUACCGUAUGAAUAAGGAUCGGC
rnacentral:rRNA from 1 species